ACACUGCAGGGGGAAGGGGACAGGGUGAGAAUGAACUCUAACAGUAACUUAAUAGUAAACCCCAGGCCCUACAGGGCCAGCACCACCCAGACCAAGGGAGAGCUCCGCACAGCAGCCAGAGCCGCUGAGGCAGUCUCAGUGAUGAACGCAGGAACGGUUGCUUAGGACUGUCCCCCCUCCUGCUAAGGACAGUCAUCCCCGUAGGAGGGUGAGCCCAGGGGAACCUCCACAGUGGCCUCACACCAGGCCAGCCUGAGUUAAGUAAGGAGUGUCUGUUGUGCUCUGGCCAGAGCUGGCCAACACUACUGGUUUAUAAACCAGGGAGCACCCUAUUCCAAAUCUUACAGGGGAACUGGGGGCAGGGGGUUGGGGGGGCUUCCUCAGAUACACCUAAGCCAUCUCCCAAGAGCAAGAGGGUAACUAUAAUCUAAAGGGGCUUUAGGCUUUAAAAGAUUAAUCAAGAAUCUUGUUUUUUUUCAUACCUGACCAAUGCAGAAUGUGCUCCAGCCUCUAAACUUUUGCACAAAGCAAUGGAAGGUAGGAUGAAAACCUGGGUAAGUGGGAGGGUAUGGCUGGAGCUUGGUACUCUUAUGUUUCCUCUGAAUGGAGUAGGAACUUGGAGCCCUGUCAGGGCUAAGUGCUCUAUUAGGAGAGAUGAGUGCUAAACAAUCCCUAGAUCAAGAAGGACCCCCAGCCGCCCUUUACUCAUCAACUGACUUGUGGCUGACAUCAGCCUCACUUCCUGUUAGAAUAUCUGAUGGUUGACUGUGGCCUCAGAGGAUCUGCAGACACUUUUAAGAAAAUCCCAAAACAGCUACCAUCAUCAAACUCAGGUUAUAAAGCAGUAAGGAUCUUAUUUUUUUUUUGCAAGUUCAUGAAUACAUGAAUCUUCUAAGUUAAACCAAUCCUUGGGCAGUCGUCUUUCAGUUCUGUUUUUGCGUAUCUGUUUUUAUACCUCCUCGCUUGGCAGCUCCUCUCUCUCGAGCCUGGUAUAGUAGCUAAAACACGCUGGGUACUGUGAGCUUGUUCAAGUUCUGUUGUAUCAGCUGCCCUCCACAGAGAUAGCCCUUUCUCCUCUCACGGCACAGGUCUAAUCUCAUUUGGCCCCACUCAGCGACAUAGGAAAAACUGUUCAGGGUCUGGGAGUCAAGACCCACCACCAGGGGAGCCUAGUCAAAAAGAAGACCACCUGAUAAGGCCAUGACCUGGUUUAGUCUUAACAGUAACUGUGUGCUGGAUGUUCCCAUCUCACAGGUAAGGAACUUGAGGCUCACGAAGGUCAGGUCUCUUGUGCAAGCACAGAAACAGCCAGAGCAGGAAUGUGAGCCCAGGCCCCAGCUAAGGUAGCAAAGGGACCAGGAGGAGCCCGGGAGUGAAUGGGCUCCAGGACAGUCCUCUCUUACCAGGCAGCGCCCACCCAACUCUGGGGUCACCAGAGCAGGAAAGCCCCAGGCAGCGCAACCUGCCAUUUCUGCCCCGAUGACCAACCCAGGUUCCCAGCCUCCCCUGAUCCUGCAUGGGUAGCGCUGGACAGGGAAACCCAAAACGCAGCUGGCUGUUGCUUCCCUUGCCUAAUCUCUGGUUGCAUUCUCCUUGUCAGUGGACUGGCUCUGCUGCCCUGAGGACAGAAAGGCUCCCUCCCCUGCAAAGGCAGCCUGCUGGACCCAGGCCAGAGACCUAGCCCAUGGCUGGGCUCCUGUGUGCUGGGCCCUGCAGUCUCUCUCAAGCUGCCUUUAUGGAGGUGCUCACUACUCAGCCCGUGCUAAGGGCCUUCACAGCCCCACCGGACACCUGUCUGCUCCCAGCUUCCCCACUCCCAACCCUUCCUCCUGUCAGAACCACUGACCCACAGGUAGCUUCAUCAGGAAGACAAAGAUGUCUCCGUCUUGCCUCCUCUGUCACCUUCCUCCUCUAGUCCACAUCCGUCCUAGACAGGGCUUAUUUCACAUGACGUCCUCCACAGCCUGGUGCAGUAGAGACUCUGAGCUGAUUACCCCCAGACAGUGGUUACAGAGGUUAGAAAUAGUCAGUCUGGCUAAAAAAAACCCCCAAAAAACAGAACUUCAAGCCCGAGGGCUGUGUCAGCCUUGAUGGGGGUAGUUAGUGCUGUACCUACCUUAGAAACCCGGUCAGUUAUUUCCUGGAGCACUGAGUCUUCCAAAGCCCUUAUUAUGACUUUUUCCUUCACAUUAGCUGAGGACAGAACCUAUCCCCACAGACUGUAGAGAAGAUGGGGGUGGUGGUGGUGGAGUCUGUGUGGUAAAGUAAGUCUGGAGGUAUGAGUGAAGUGAUUUCCUUGCUUUUCUUCCCAUCGCCAAAGCAGGGAUGAUGGGCACAGGAGAAUGCUCUGAGGAACGCCUCACAGCACUCACUGUGGGGCCCAGGAACUCCGUAUUUUAUAACUGCAUCUUCCUAGGUGCCCUUCCUACCUGCGCAGUCUGAGGUACUGCACCUCCAGAGGGGCCUGCUGCACUGAGCUGCCGGUCUGGUCUGCCCACCCCACCUCGAGGUUUCUGCUCCUCACAUCCUCUACUGUGCCACCUGUCCCCAUCCCUGCCCUGCAGUGGUGAACCCCGCUUCCCCUUGAGAGCUCCCAUAUUGCCCUAGCUCAGCAGUCAGGAUGCAGCCGUGCUGCCCGAGUCCUGGGCCGGGACAGCCUCCCUGGGUACCUUAAGUCAGGGCACUGUAUAUACACCACAGCUUCGCUGGCCGUACUGGUUCCCCAGCAGGAGCUGGGGCGUAGAGGAUUCUAACACAGGUGUUUCCACACCCAGGCCACAUGAGCCUUACUGGCAACUGGCCUGUACUGGCAAGCUGAGCAUGGGGGCAUGGUUAUGUAAGAUGUUAAACAUUAAGGGAGGCUGGAUCAAGAGUAUACAGCAACUGUACUAUUUCUGACUCAUCUGUAAAUCUACAAUUAUUCCAGAAUUUAAAAAAAAAUUUUUCUUUUAAAGGAAGGAACAAUGGAGCAGGAUCAAAAGUGCAGUGGGAGCAGUCAGUGCCCAGUGAGGGGCACUGGGUCCGGCAUGGUGCAGAGACUGCUCACACAGCGCUCCUACUUAGGGGUCCAGUGCCCCCUUGUGGCCAGCCUGGGCGCCAGCUCCUGCUGAUGCAGGCAGGCCUUCACAGAUGGGCCCACACGCAGAGCACCCAAAAGGCUUACCAUCCCAUUUGCUGCGUAGUGUGUCAGGAGUCAAGGCCACCUUAUUCAGCCUGUGCCCUGGUCCCAGGAAGGGACUGAACAGACUCUCAAUUUCCAGAAAACUGUGGGUGAGUUGGAGAGCAGGUCUAGGGGUUCCUUCACCAGCUUGUCUGCCUUGCCCUGACACAGCCCUUUGGUACCAACCUUCAGUGUCCUCAGCCCCAUUCCAGGGGUGUGGCCUGCAGAGGGGCAGGUACUCAGAGUUGCCACAUGAAUGCAGGUGCAAAGACAGCGUGAGUAGUGGUGGUAUCGGGCUUGGGGGUGUAGAGGGAAGGGUGAGUGAGCAUGUGUGUGACUUGGAGGCCCAGCCUAGGUCAGAAAGGCCCAGGGGAGCUGAGCAGACUCUGGCAGAGGAUCCUCAUCCACUGUCUUGCCUCAGCUGGAAGCAGAGAAGACAGAUGCAAGAUGCUUGGAGGCAUGCAGCCCCCUGGGCCCAGGUGCCUGCUCACCAAGUCCUGGGGUCUUCUCCAGGGCCACCAGCCACACCAACCAGCGGUCCCAAAUUCUAGGACUACCAUAGUGUACACCCAGGGGGCAGGUAUUCACAUGGGCUACUCAGAACCCCGGUUCCGGGCACGCACUGGGCAAGUAGGGCUCCAGGCCACACAGGGACCCGGGCAGGAAUGUGAGUGGAGACUCAGCCAAAGGCUCCAGUUCUCAGUCAGCCCCAUCCUGGAAUCUGAAACCUUGACUUGCUCAGCUCAGACAUUUUAAAUGAUUAAUCAAGGGCUUUGAAGUGGUAAUUGAGCCUUAGCAGGCCAUUAGUUCUUGUGCCUGCAUCUGUCUGCAGUCCCAGCCCAGGAAGUUAGUAAGGAGAAGCAGAUACAAAAGACCGGGGCCUCACAGACAGUUCUGACAUCUCGGGCCUUCUUGCUCCAGAAACGAAGGAAGCUGUACCUUGGCCUCUUGUGCAGGCUCAGACCAGUGGUGGGCACCCCAUGCUGCUCCUUUACUGCCGAGACCACCACAGCCCAGUGCCGCCCCAGGAGUGCCCCCGGCAGAGGUGACAGCUCUGCCAGAGGCAGGAGGCCUGUGGUCAGUGCUCAGCUGUCUUCACCCCAUCUUCUAAACCAGCAUCCAAAACAACAUAAGAAGGCCAGCCUUCCGCGAGGUAUCAGAGGAUGCCAAACAGCCCUCCUACUGCUCAGACCAAGAGGGAGGAAGAGGGAAAAAUCGUAAUGCAUCUGAGGAAUAAGUACAAUCUCAAGACGGCCCCAGGACAGCUCCUGCGCCUUCCAAGCAGCCAGAGAGAACACACUGCUGGCUGAGGAUGCACUUGCGCUUUCCUUGGAUGUGCACGUACGGCGGGACCAUUUUUGACUCAGCACAAGGGGGCUGCACUCGGGACGGAAGCUGUCCUAAAGGCAGUACCCCUCUGCCACCUGCUCUGAAGGCCAUGAGCACCAGAGCUGAAGACCUGAGGUGCCAGGAGUUCCAAUGUAGCCUCUACAACCACGUGUGCUGCCUGGCAGUGUGCACCAAGCUUCGUCUUGACAACUUGGCCACAGUGAGCACCCCGGGCCCACAUCUACCGAAAUGCCCCAGGCUGACGCAAGGGCUGAACAGCUUAGGGGACGGAUGCUCUAUUCAAGCUUAUAAAAUGAAAAACCUAGAUAAAUCUUUUUUUAUUUUUUCUAAAAAUCUGAGAAGAUAAUCAAGAGCUACUGCUUCCGCUGAUGAGAAAAGAAAAUAGGUGAUCAAAAGGGAAACUCAAAUGAUUGGCCAGGGUGACGGCCAAUCACCUAUCAGUGAGUGGCCUUGUAUACCCGGAGACCAAGAGACAGGACACUCGGUGUUCUUGAAUCCUGAAUUCAGCCAAGAGACUAGGGAGGGGACUGAAGAACAGUGAUGGGAGGAAUACGCAGGCUGAGAAUGUACACGGCGAGCUCUCAGCACCGGCUAUUCUGCUCCAAGUCUGUGUAUGCCAUUGCCUCGGAUUAGAGGAACCAUGGUGUGACCUAGGGAAGGUCAAAGGGAAGUGUAUGAGAAGUCCUGACGUCAUGGCUGAUGUUACUACAGCAGACAGGAGGAUGCGAUUCAUUAUAUUGUGAUGCGUCAUGAAUGUGUUUCUAAUGUCGGUUUUUAAGAAAUAAAUACGAGUGAGGCUGCUAUGCCAGGCAGAAGAAAUUAAGGAGACUCUAGAAAAAAUUCAGAUCAUGCCCAGUAUAGGACAGUUCUAUGACCUUGUGGCUGCGGUUUAAAGACCCCAAGGCAGGGAGAUUCCUUUAAUGACUGGCAGGUCUUGCUCACAACCUACUCAGGAAGGAGGCAGAGAUCAAGGUUGUGAAUGAUGGUGGCUGACCUGCCUCAGAGCAGGACUUGGCCCACAAGCCCCUCAACAUUACUGGUCAUCUUUUCAUGACUGUUCCUACCCAAUUCGAUGUAGACACACCUCUACCACAAAGCUUCAAAAGACACCAAUACAAUCAAUCAUAAGCUAGAAUUAUCACAACAGAGCAAAUGAGGGAGCAGGCUGCCUGGCUUCAUUAGAGGUUAUGGCAUAUAAGAGGGAACAAGUGAAGUGAAAGUCGCUCAGUCGUGUCCACCUCUUUGUAAUCCCAUGGACUAUAGAGUGCAUGGAAUUCUCCAGGCCAGAAUACUAGAGUGGGUAGCCUUUCCCUUCUCCAGGGAUCUUCCCAACCCAGGGAUUGAACCCAAGGUCUCCCACAUUGCAGGCGGAUUCUUUACCAGCUGAGCCACAAGGGAAGCGCAAGAGGGAACAAGUCAUGCCAUUAAAUACCCGCCAAGCCUCAUAAUCUAUAGACUUAAUGCAAUUCUAAUCAUAAUCCCAACCAUUUUUUAUAGAUAAACUGAUUCUAAAAUAUAUGGAAAGUCAAGAGAACUAGAAUAACAAAAAAUAUGGAAAAAGAAUAAAGUUGGAGGACUUAAUGCUACCUUAUUUUAUGGUUAAUAUAAAGCUACAGGAGUCCCGACAGUCACAGUUCAGGAGAAGGGAGUGACACAGACGACAGGAGGGGCAUGGAGGGCGGCAGCAGCGCCACAGGCACAUGCCAGCUGGCGUCUGACAAUAUGCAGAAGCAACUCCAUGCAGAAAGGACAGUCUUUCCAAACAAAUGUUGAAACAGCUGGCGCACAAAACCCCAAAAACUUCAACCAUUUUAAGCCCCACGUUUUAUGUAAACAUUAACCCCAAAUGGCUCAUAGACCUAAAUGUAAAACUAUAAAAUUUUUAGAAGAAAUAGAUUCUUCAUGACCCGGAGUUACGCAAAGAGUUCUCAAAUCUAACAGCAAAAGCAUGAUACUUUGGAUUUAAUAAAAAUUAAGACUUUUGCUCUAUGGAAGACACUGUUGAGAUGAAAAGACAAGCUACAGACUGGGAGAAAAUAUAUGGAAAUAACAUCUAGUACAGACCUUGUAUCUAAAAUGUAGAAACACUCUCAAAACCCUACAGUGAGAAGUCAACAGACAUGUCACCAAAUAGGAUUUGAGAAGAA